rnacentral:rRNA from 1 species
GUGCCAGCAGCCGCGGUAAUUCCAGCUCCAGUAGCGUAUAUUAAAGCUGUUGCGGUUAAAAAGCUCGUAGUUGGAUAUCAGUGCGUGUCCGGAUCGGUAUGCCCGACACUGUCGUUAACGCGGCAGCCGUCGGGCUCCCAAAUAUCGGCUGGCCGCAUUCAAUCGUGCCGGAUCCGUCGACGGGCCGUUCUUCGGAGGGGCCUGUUGGCGACCGGCGACGUUACCUUGAACAAAUUAGAGUGCUCAAAGCAGGCUCUCAAUGCCUGUAUACAUAUUCAUGGAAUUGGAGAAUACGUCCCUGGCUCGAUUUGGUUGGUUUUGAGAGUCGAAGGGAAAUGAUUAAUAGGGACUGACGGAGGCAUUCGUAUUGCGACGCGAGGGGUGAAAUCCUGUGACCGUCGCACGACGAACUACUGCGAAAGCAUUUGCCGAGAAUGUUUUCAUUAGUCAAGAACGAAAGUUAGAGGUUCGAAGACGAUCA